GCUUCUUUAGCUCAGUUGGUUAGAGCAUCUGACUGUUAAUCAGAGGGUCCCAGGUUCGAGCCCUGGAAGGAGCG
rnacentral:tRNA from 2 species